rnacentral:rRNA from 1 species
UACAGAGGGUGCAAGCGUUGUUCGGAAUUAUUGGGCGUAAAGCGCGUGUAGGCGGCUUUGCAAGUCGGGUGUGAAAGCCCUCGGCUCAACCGAGGAAGUGCGCCCGAAACUGCAGAGCUUGAGUACCGGAGAGGAUGGCGGAAUUCCCCAAGUAGAGGUGAAAUUCGUAGAUAUGGGGAGGAACACCGGUGGCGAAGGCGGCCAUCUGGACGGAUACUGACGCUGAGGUGCGAAAGCGUGGGGAGCAAACGGG